GCAUGAACCAACAGAAAUUACCUAGAAUAUUCUCUAGGCUUUAUACCAAACACUCAGAAUCUUAAGCACUGUAAAAGACUUCAGAGUUGAUCAAAUAUAAUUAUUCAUUUCCCUAUAAAGAAACUGAGAACUAGAAUUACACGCCUUAGCUCAAGUCACCAAGCUAAUUCGUAGAACAGCUUAUACACCAUUAAAGAAAGGGUCUGUAUAAAAUUCUACACCUUUCUUUUUCUAAUGGACAAACUAUCAUCCACUCACUAUAUCAAUGUCAGGAAUCCACUUUUCUAAGUUCUCGAUGUCUUCAAUUCUUACUAGUUUAUGCAACAAGCCUUCUGAUCAAGUCAGUACAAUGAGGUCAACACUUAGUGCAUGUGCUUGGUGCCCUGUCAGCUUCUGGAUUGACCAAGAUGACUCAGACCAGGGAGGGGCUCACGGCUGACGGGAAAUGACUGGCAUGUGGCAGAUGUGAUAAGGGCUCGAAUAAACACUGGCAUGUGCACGCUAACCUGUCACAGGCCAGGAGGCAAAUGAUUCAGCCCGAGUGAAGAAGGGUACAUCACCCCUUCUCCCCGCCACCCAGGCUCUCAGGUGCUCCGGGCAAGAGGAGGCAGAGAAGGAACCCCACAACCUAGGACUUGGAACACUUCCCUUAUAAGAAAUGGCUCUCAGCGAAUGGAAACAAACAGCUACACUUGGAACAUUAUUUCCUCCUCCGAAGAACAAAGCUCCAAGAAGCUACAAGUCUUAGAAGAGAAGGGGACACAGGUUCGAGCCCUCGUCCGGGAGGAUCCCACAUGCCACGAAGCAAGUAAGCCCGUGCACCACAACUAUUGAGCCUCUGCUCUAGAGCCCACAUGCCGCAACUACUGAGCCUGCGCACCACAACUACUGAAGUCCACGCGCCUAGAGCCUGUGCUCUGCAACAAGAGAAGCCACCGUGAUGAGAAGUCCAUGCAGCCCAGUGAAGAAUAGCCCCCGUUCACCACAACUAGAGAAAGCCCAUGCAUAGCAACAAAGAUCCAACACAGCCAAAAAUAAAUAAAUGAAUUAAAAAAAAAAAAGUCCAUGUAAAACAUCGAAGUUUUUAACCCACUAAAUAGGUGUUGAAUCUGA